GACCGCGUAGCCCAGUUGGCAGAGCAUUGGGCUAGUAUUCCAAAGGUCGUAGGUUCGAUUCCCACCGUGGACU